rnacentral:rRNA from 1 species
AGUGAACGCUGGCGGUAGGCCUAACACAUGCAAGUCGAACGGCAGCACAGGAGAGCUUGCUCUCUGGGUGGCGAGUGGCGGACGGGUAAGGAAUACAUCGGAAUCUACUCUGUCGUGGGGGAUAACGUAGGGAAACUUACGCUAAUACCGCAUACGACCUACGGGUGAAAGCAGGGGACCUUCGGGCCUUGCGCGAUUGAAUGAGCCGAUGUCGGAUUAGCUAGUUGGCGGGGUAAAGGCCCACCAAGGCGACGAUCCGUAGCUGGUCUGAGAGGAUGAUCAGCAGCACUGGAACUGAGACACGGUCCAGACUCCUACGGGAGGCAGCAGUGGGGAAUAUUGGACAAUGGGCGCAAGCCUGAUCCAGCCAUACCGCGUGGGUGAAGAAGGCCUUCGGGUUGUAAAGCCCUUUUGUUGGGAAAGAAAUCCAGCUGGCUAAUACCCGGUUGGGAUGACGGUACCCAAAGAAUAAGCACCGGCUAACUUCGUGCCAGCCGCCGCGGUAA